rnacentral:rRNA from 1 species
AGUUAACGCUGGCGGCGUGCCUAACACAUGCAAGUCGAACGCGUCCUAAGGGCAACUUUAGGAUGAGUGGCGAACGGGUGAGUAUCACGUGGGUAAUCUUCCUUCAAGUGGGGAAUAAGCUCUCGAAAGGGAGUCUAAUACCGCAUGACAUUCCGGGACACAAGUCCCGUAAUCAAAGCCGCAAGGCGCUUGAAGAUGAGCCUGCGUCCUAUUAGCUAGUUGGUGGGGUAACGGCCUACCAAGGCUUAGAUGGGUAGCCGGCCUGAGAGGGUGAACGGCCACACUGGGACUGAGACACGGCCCAGACUCCUACGGGAGGCAGCAGUGAGGAAUUUUGCGCAAUGGGGGAAACCCUGACGCAGCGACGCCGCGUGGAGGAUGAAGGCCUUCGGGUCGUAAACUCCUGUCAGAGGUGAAGAAUACCCGCAAGGGUUUGACGGUAACCUCAGAGGAAGCCCCGGCUAACUACGUG